CAGAGAGCAUGUUAUCACUGAUGUAAGCUGAGCAAUUCUUAGUUAAGAGUAAUAUACACAUAGUCAGGACCUGUGGAGCUAUGUGAGUUUGAAUCUUAACUAGUCUCUUAUGUCACUGGGACCCCUCAUCAGGAUAUUCAACCCUCCAAGCCUCAGUGUUCUGGGGUGUCAGUUCAUGGAAGACUUUGAUGGCCUGAGUUCCCAGGUCACUUGUGCUGCUGCUUCAUCUUUGUCUGUGGUUUUAUUGGAAUUACAGUGGAUUUACUAAGUAGCGGUGUCUGCAUCCAAUACUAAGAAUUUUAAGGACCCGAAGGAGAAGAAUUAUUAUAUGAUGGUCUUGCUGGUCCUUUGGGAACUUAGGAAAGCUGAGGAAGAACCACUUGCCCACCUGGUCUCCACUGAGAGGCAUUUACACUGUGCCUUGUCGUUACUAUCCACUGCAGAAGUAGAGAAAUAAGAAAAAUGCACGAGGAAAGACACUGGGGCAGCUGUGUGCCCUCUGUGAAGUCAGAAUCUAAGCGUCGGACUGUGGGCAAAGCAAGUUCUUUGACAAGACAACUUGACUGGGGCGACAUCUUCUCCUUUUUGUUUCUCAUCACCUCCUUUCAGCACUGUCUUUCCUCUUUAUAUGUCAUCUUGCUGUCGCUCAUGAGUUCCUAUGAUGUGAUAACCCAGAGCUGGCUCCAUUCUGGUUGGCUACAACACUCCCAUCUUUGUUAUCUUUCACUGAGUUUCUGUGUCAAAGAGGCAACAUCUUUAUCAUUGCAGGCAACAUCUUGAUGUUUUCUGAUGAUUUACCAACAUGCUUGCUGAACAACAAGAAAAGGUGCUCAGGUGUUACCAUCUUAUGGAUCUAAAUGACUUGAUAUUAAGAGCAAUAAUGCCAACUUCUCUGGUCCUUGAACCCAUGUGCUCUCUCAGGACUACCAGCCUCCCAAAAAUGUUGACAAGUACUUGGAGGAAAUUCUUGGGGGAGUGGUCCUCAUAUGUGCUCACAAGCAUGAGGUUAGCCAGCAAAGAAUCUUUUUUUUUCCUACUUCCCACUGACUUUGCCUUCUUUCUCUGGCAUAACCAUUUCUGUCUGGA